rnacentral:misc_RNA from 1 species
GGAAUCAGCACGCGCCCAGUGGCCGUCCUUGUCUCGUAACAUCCGUCGAUCUCAACGGAAUUUGGUUUAUCUCGUCGCCCAGUGAAUUUCGGUUUAUCCAGUGAAUUUGGUUUUUUGGACACAUGUGACAGUUUUUAGCCAUUGACAAUCGUCAACAUUUUUCGCAGUGAAAUAUAUCGGAACGAAGUUUUUAAUAAAAGAAAUUUGGACAAAAUGCCCGACGUUGCGCCCAGCACAAUGGACCUCGACUCGGAGCCCUACACACCCAGCGCACGUAGUCCGCUCGCCGAUACUUGGGCCCAUUACGGGUUCAGUUUAAGUGGCGGUUACGAGGCCCAGCACAGCCGCGAGUCUGUGGAUUUGAUCGGCGGAGUCAACAACAGUGUGGCCGUGACAUCGGUGGCCGGAACGGUCGGCUCAUCCGGUUCGACAGUCGUCGGCGUGGGACACGGAAGCGGCGGUGAGGUGGACGUUUGGUCCAAUUCGCACGAUCCUUAUUCGCCCCACAAUCACCACCACCAUCAGCAGCAGCAGCAGCAACAACAACAACAUCACCACCAGCAUCAUCACCAACAACAACAACAUGCCGCUUAUUACGGACAGUCUGUGGGUGGAGGGCAGGUGAUGACGGAAUUGCUGACAGCUACUCAUCCGCCGUCUUCUUACAACCUCAACCAGCCUCAACAACAACAACAACAGCAGCAACAACAACAACAACCGUUCACUCCUACCGAACAGCACCCGGUCGAUUUGUCGAAUUCUCAGCAACGACCUCCCAAUCCGGCCGUUUCAGCCGCCACUUCGGCCGCCUUUUACGGUCUCUCGGCCGCCGACUACAACAGCCCCGCAACCUCGUCCAGUCAACGUCAGCGCGGAGGCAACGACACCUACAAACCCAACGGACUCAGCCUUUCGCUGGGCAUCCCCGAUUCCGUUGUCGGAGCGGGCGGAUUGAUUCCGGGCUCUUUGACUCCACCGGACAAGGUGGUCGGAGCAUCCGGUGAUUUGAGCGGCGGUCAUUUGCUCAAUCAGCAACAGCAACAUCAUCAUCACCAACAGCAGCAGCAGCAGGGGGCUCAGCAACAACAGCAGCAACAACAACAACAUCAUAACCCUUACGCCCUGGCGCAUCCCAGUUCGGCCAUGGCUCCGACUCUGCAGACUCCGCCGUCGCCUCUUUCGACUCCGUCGCCACCCGUGCCCAUCGAUCGAUACGGGCCGACCGGAUCGGCGUAUAGGGGCGGAACCAAGGAGCAGCGGCUGACCCGUGAGGCGAUGAUGCGCUACCUGCAGGAGCACGGCGACAUGGUCGUGGUCAUCCUGCACGCUAAAGUGGCCCAGAAGUCGUACGGCAACGAGAAGCGCUUCUUCUGCCCGCCGCCGUGCAUCUACCUCUACGGCGACGGAUGGCGGAGGAGGCGCGAGGCCAUCCAGCGCGAAGCCGCCGCCAACGGGGCCUCGCCCGCAGAAGCCGAAGCCGCCUCGCAGCUCUGCGCUUUCAUCGGCAUCGGCAAUUCCGACCAGGAUAUGCAGCAACUCGACCUCAACGGAAAAAGUUAUUGCGCGGCCAAGACGCUGUUCAUUUCCGACUCUGACAAGCGCAAGCAUUUCAUGCUGUCGGUGAAAAUGUUUUACGGCAACGGCCAGGAUAUCGGCGUCUUCCACAGCAAGCGGAUUAAAGUCAUUUCUAAACCGUCCAAGAAGAAGCAGUCGCUCAAGAACGCCGAUCUGUGCAUCGCCAGCGGGACCAAAGUGGCCCUGUUCAAUCGACUCCGCUCGCAAACGGUCAGCACUCGUUACCUGCACGUGGACAAUAACAAUUUUCACGCCAGUUCCACCCAAUGGGGCGCCUUCACCAUUCAUUUAUUGGACGACAGCGAAUCCGAGUCGGAAGAGUUUACGGUGCGCGACGGCUACAUCCAUUACGGCAGCACGGUCAAGCUGGUGUGCAGCGUGACGGGCAUGGCCCUACCCCGGCUCAUCAUCCGCAAAGUGGACAAGCAGAUGGCCGUUUUGGACGCCGACGACCCCGUCUCGCAGCUGCACAAGUGCGCCUUCUACAUGAAAGACACGGAGCGGAUGUACCUGUGCCUCAGCCAGGAGCGCAUCAUCCAGUUCCAGGCGACGCCGUGCCCCAAGGAGCCCAACAAGGAAAUGAUCAACGACGGAGCCGCCUGGACCAUCAUCAGCACCGACAAGGCCGAGUACCAGUUCUACGAGGGCAUGGGACCCGUCCGCAGUCCCGUCACCCCCGUCCCCAUCGUCCACUCGCUCCACUUGAACGGUGGCGGCGAUGUGGCCAUGUUGGAGCUGAUGGGCGAAAAUCUGACACCCAAUUUGAAAGUGUGGUUUGGCGACGUGGAGGCCGAGACCAUGUUCCGCUGUGAGGAGUCGAUGCUGUGCGUCGUGCCCGAUAUUUCAGCUUUCCGUUCCGGUUGGCAGUGGGUCCGCGGACCGACUCAGGUUCCCAUAUCUUUGGUGAGGAGUGACGGUGUCAUCUACGCCACCAGGUUGACGUUCACCUACACACCGGAGCCUGGACCGAGGCCGCAUUGCCCUCCGGCCCAGGAAGUCUUGCAGCGCGGGGUUGUAGCCGGAUCUAACAAUGCCGUCAAUCCGAUGGCACUCGGCUACGACAACCAACACAUGCAUCAUCAACAACAGCCGCAACAACAGCAACAACACCACCAGCCAAUGUGAAAUUAGAGGGGAACAAAAAAAGAGAAAAACUUUUUGUGACGGCCCGGAAGAAAUAUUUGUAUUUUGCUGGCGUUCUUUGGCUGCUUAAUUAUGCAAAAAGAAAAUAUCUGGAGGAGCGGCUUCGAUGUUUUUUGGGGCUUUCGGAUCGAACGAGAAAACGAGCAUUUCGUUUUUGUUGUUUCGUCCAAUUUUUUUUUUUUUUUUUGUAAUACCAUUAUUAUUAUUAAUUAAUUAGAAUUAUAAUUAUUUGCAAUUUUGUUGAAUUCGUUUCACUCCGGUAUGGUCCUUAAUUAUUAUUUUUUUUUUCUUUUCAUUGACAAAAAAAAAAUUAGUGAAAAGAAAAGAAUUUUCCAAUUUUGUGUGGGUUUUCCUUAUUUUUUGUGAUUCCCGGGCUCGGUGAAAACGUGUGUCGUCUACCAUAAAAGAAAAAAAACGGAUUAAUGAGGAUGGGAAUGUUUAUAUCAUUAUGCCCUUUCAUUUUGCGUUUCUAUUUUUUAUUUUGUGAGUCUUGAGUGCGUGUGUGUUCCCCCCCCCCCAUUUUCUCCACGACAAAACGAGAGGUCCAUCUUUUGUUCGUUCGUUUAUUUUGUCUCCCUCCCAUGAUUGCUAUAACUGCCUUAUAAUAAUAUGAAUAAUUAAUUAAUAACAAUUGAUUUUGUACAGUGUUGAGCGUGCUAGUUAAGUGAGAUUAUCUUCGUGCUUGCUUUCUUUUUUGCGAUGACGACGGCGAAAUGUGUCCGUGACCGUGUGCAGAGCAGGCAAUAUACAGACAGAAUGUCAAACGACUA